CCUACGGGAGGCAGCAGUGAGGAAUAUUGGUCAAUGGACGGAAGUCUGAACCAGCCAUGCCGCGUGCAGGAAGACGGCUCUAUGAGUUGUAAACUGCUUUUGGACAAGGGUAAACCUGAAUACAUGUACCUAGCUGAAAGUACUGUACGAAUAAGGAUCGGCUAACUCCGUGCCAGCAGCCGCGGUAAUACGGAGGAGCCAAGCGUUAUCCGGAUUUAUUGGGUUUAAAGGGUGCGUAGGCGGAUUGAUAAGUGAGAGGUGAAAUGGCCGGGCUUACAUCGGGAACAGCGUCUAAUACUGUUGAUGUAGAGAGUAGAUGCGGUAGGGGGAAUGUAUGGUGUAGCGGGGAAAUGCUUAGAGAUCAUACAGAACACUGAUUGCGAAGGCAGCUUACCAAGCUAUACCUGACGUGGAGGCACGAAAGCGUGGGGAGCAAACAGGAUUAGAUACCCCAGUAGUC
rnacentral:rRNA from 1 species